GUAGGCAUGGCCGCGCAGGCGCGCGGUGGAGGACGCGUCUCUCCAUGCCCCGCCCUGCCCCUCUCWGAAGCACGUGCGCUCGCGUCAUUUCCUGUUAUUCUUUUCUCUCCCACUCCGGUGUUGUGGGUUUGCUGGGGACCGACUCUUGGGGCGUGUCUGCUUCCUCUUUUUUGUCAGGGCCUUCUGAGAAGCGAGGAGGUAUCGGUC
rnacentral:lncRNA from 1 species